GUAUACGGCCAUGCUACCCUGAACAAGCCUGAUCCUGUCUGAUCUCGGAAGCUAACCAGGGUAGGGCCUGGUUAGUCCUUAGAUGGGAGACCACCUAGGAAGACCAGGUGCUAUAGUCA
rnacentral:rRNA from 1 species